GGCUUCGUGGCGCAAUGGUAGCGCGUCCGCCUCCUACACGGAGGUCGCUUCGGGUGGGACUCGAACCCACAUUACCGAAUUAGCGGGAGGCUGUGGGUUCGAGUCCCACCGGGGUCG